CCUACGGGUGGCAGCAGUAGGGAAUAUUGCUCAAUGGGGGAAACCCUGAAGCAGCAACGCCGCGUGGAGGAUGAAGGUUUUCGGAUUGUAAACUCCUUUUGUUAGAGAAGAUAAUGACGGUAUCUAACGAAUAAGCACCGGCUAACUCCGUGCCAGCAGCAGCGGUAAUACGGAGGGUGCGAGCGUUACUCGGAAUCACUGGGCGUAAAGAGCGCGUAGGCGGGUUAGCAAGUCAGAUGUGAAAUCCUAUGGCUUAACCAUAGAACUGCAUUUGAAACUGUUAGUCUAGAGUAUGGGAGAGGUAGGUGGAAUUCUUGGUGUAGGGGUAAAAUGCGUAGAGAUCAAGAGGAAUACUCAUGGCGAAGGCGACCUGCUAGAACAUAACUGACGCUGAUGCGCGAAAGCGUGGGGAGCAAACAGGAUUAGAUACCCUAGUAGUC
rnacentral:rRNA from 1 species